UAAGGAAUCUUCCACAAUGGGGGCAACCCUGAUGGAGCAACGCCGCGUGCAGGAUGAAGGCCUUAGGGUCGUAAACUGCUUUUGUUAGCGAAGAAUAUGACGGUAACUAACGAAUAAGGGUCGGCUAACUACGUGCCAGCAGCCGCGGUCAUACGUAGGACCCAAGCGUUAUCCGGAGUGACUGGGCGUAAAGAGUUGCGUAGGCGGUAAUUUAAGCAGAUAGUGAAAUCAUGUGGCUCAACCAUUAUGACUAUUAUCUGAACUGGAUUACUCGAGAAUAGUAGAGGUACCUGGAAUUCCCUGUGUAGGAGUGAAAUCCGUAGAUAUAGGGAGGAACACCAAUGGCGUAGGCAGGGUACUGGACUAUUUCUGACGCUAAGGCACGAAAGCGUGGGGAGCGAACCGGAUUAGAUACCCCCGUAGUCC
rnacentral:rRNA from 1 species